UCCAUCGUGAGGUGGAAUCUGAAGGAAGCCGGAUAUGAGGAACACACUAACUCACGGGCAAAUCUCUGGUCUGACGAACAGAAAUCGAGAUCGCACAGAUGAGGUUUGGCAUGAUUG
rfam:Lachnospiraceae bacterium M18-1 genomic scaffold acPFy-supercont1.3, whole genome shotgun sequence.